rnacentral:lncRNA from 1 species
UCUAUGAAGAGGUUUUGAGAAUGAAUGGGAUUCUAGAACCAGCAACUAAUCAUGAUGGAGAAAUCAGGGAGGCCACCUGACACAGCUUGCUAGACAUAGUUUCCCUUUCUAUUCAUGAAGGGUUACCAAACUGCUCUGGGGAGUCUGAAGAGAGGCCAGAAUCAAAGUCUUUUUCAUACAGCAUUGGGACUACACAACAGCCCGUCUGGGCUGAAUACCUUCCUUCUCAAGGCACAGAUCAUCACAGCAGAGGAAGAGUGCCCUUCAUCUUCACCCACAGGUGGUACUCUAAAUAUGGGACAGCCCAUUUUCCCUCUUCCACUAUAUACUCAAUAAAAUAACAAGUAAAUUA